UAUGCUACUGUUGCCGCAAGAAUUUUAAUUGUGAGUAAUUGGAAAAGUGAUAAAACCCCUUCGAGGUGAGAAUGGCUACAGAAACUAGUCGAAUAUGCAGAAUUCGCCAAGUUAACUGAAGGAAUGAAAGAUAAGUCCAAACAAGUAUUUAUUACAAAAUGGGAACCUCUUAAAACAUAUCUUAAAAACAAGUGUGGAAGUCUAAACUCGGUUGCUCCUUUUGUAUAACUUCUGUAGUUGUACCAAGUAAGAAAUAAAGAUACAGGAGACAUGAUAUUUUACUGUAAA